GAUGAACGCUGGCGGCAGGCUUAACACAUGCAAGUCGAGCGGAGCGAGGGUGCUUGCACCUUAGCUUAGCGGCGGACGGGUGAGUAAUGCUUAGGAAUCUGCCUAUUAGUGGGGGACAACAUUCCGAAAGGGAUGCUAAUACCGCAUACGCCCUACGGGGGAAAGCAGGGGAUCUUCGGACCUUGCGCUAAUAGAUGAGCCUAAGUCGGAUUAGCUAGUUGGUGGGGUAAAGGCCUACCAAGGCGACGAUCUGUAGCGGGUCUGAGAGGAUGAUCCGCCACACUGGGACUGAGACACGGCCCAGACUCCUACGGGAGGCAGCAGUGGGGAAUAUUGGACAAUGGGGGGAACCCUGAUCCAGCCAUGCCGCGUGUGUGAAGAAGGCCUUUUGGUUGUAAAGCACUUUAAGCGAGGAGGAGGCGCUCUAGGCUAAUACCCUAGAUGCGUGGACGUUACUCGCAGAAUAAGCACCGGCUAACUCUGUGCCAGCAGCCGCGGUAAUACAGAGGGUGCGAGCGUUAAUCGGAUUUACUGGGCGUAAAGCGCGCGUAGGUGGCUAAUUAAGUCAAAUGUGAAAUCCCCGAGCUUAACUUGGGAAUUGCAUUCGAUACUGGUUAGCUAGAGUAUGGGAGAGGAUGGUAGAAUUCCAGGUGUAGCGGUGAAAUGCGUAGAGAUCUGGAGGAAUACCGAUGGCGAAGGCAGCCAUCUGGCCUAAUACUGACACUGAGGUGCGAAAGCAUGGGGAGCAAACAGGAUUAGAUACCCUGGUAGUCCAUGCCGUAAACGAUGUCUACUAGCCGUUGGGGCCUUUGAGGCUUUAGUGGCGCAGCUAACGCGAUAAGUA
rnacentral:rRNA from 1 species